AGAAGAAGGACACUCCGCACUCUUUGUUGCCGGAGGCACAUUUUUGCUCUUGAUUCUUCACUGUGCAGUCACGGUAAUUCGACAGUCUCUCCCUGUUAUAAACCCGAUCAUUCCUGUGACGGAACCGGGUUGAGUUUGGCUGCUUGCUCAGUGUAGCUAUCGUCACUAUUGGUGUGAGGCUCCUUGAUCGGUACGUAUGUAUAGUACUAGUUGACAUUGUGUAUAUUUUAAUCACAAACAGUUACUGACUUUGGUUUGUUUGUGCAUCAAGGUUGUAAACCGCUUAGCUUGUGCUGGUAUCUGCACCAGUCCCUCCUUUCUCUGUCAUGCUGCUGUUUUGUCUCAACUAUUGUUUUAACUGCAAACUGCUUAACCAGAUAUAGCUACAGGAACUUCAAGCUCUGAACACCGCUACGGGCCUUCCAGCACCAGGACCUGUUGCCCAAUUGGGUGUCUGGCAGGGCUAUAUUUAAGUGAUUGAGGCAAAGCUGUCAUCUGUGCCCUAUCUUUUGGACUGACUGUGCUCCUUGAUGUGUGUGGAGAUUGGGAUCUAUGUUUAUGGGGUUUUGUUACAUUUAUGAUUAAGUGAUUCUUUUGGUUAAUUUAUAUUUCUUAAGGUUUUGAUAAAGACUUUCAUUUUUGCUGGAACUUUGAUUUGUUAAACUUAGACAACUAGAAUUGCCUUAGAUUGAAGUUGCCUUUUGUUUUCAUUUAUUUUUGGCUUAUUGAUUUAUUUCCUUCCCCAAUAAUUGACUAUUCUCUCUCCCACAGUGCUGAGUGCCGAAAGUGGUGGUCUCUUCUUGUGUGCGGUGUUCUCCCUUUUCAUUACUUUAGUUUUUUUUUUUUUUUUGUCUGUGUGUGUCUGUUCACGUUUGAUUGGAAUCCUUCCCUGAGAUCCAACACCCCUUGACCCUACCUCUCCACUGGUAAGGCCUCAGCACUCUUUUCCCUUAUCUUAGGGUGUAUAGUAUCUUAAACUUGUAUUUUAGUAAUUGUAUGAAUAAAAUUUGUCUUUUAACGGAACUACGUCUCUGGCUUCAUGCAUAAUUCAAACCUGUGCUUUUUGUAUUUUGGUGGUUUAACGAUUUAGUUGGUCAAAUCCUAUUCUCGGGGUGAAAUUCCCCGGGUGGCGUUGCCGGUAAAAGUCCUACUCCCCACAAUCACAAACUGCUUGAAAAAUUUCCUUUAAAAGCCGUGACUAACCACAAAUUCACAAACCAUUUGUUUUUGCUUCUCUUUGUCGGUUUAUGAUGUUGUCUGCUGUACUUAAGUAUUUUGUGAUAUUUCAUGUUUUGUAUAUGUGAAAAUUGUGUUUUUAUUAUAAAUUGUGUACAGUAGAUUAAAUUUGUCUUUUGACUUCUUUACAACUAACAAAAUGCCUUCAUUUGUUUUAUUGGUGAAAUUUACCAAACUGCCUGUUAAAAAUGUAUUUGAAAUUUGUCAAGAUUUCCGUAAAUGGUCUAUUAGUCACACAGCAGAACAAAAGCUGGUCACUUAACGUUUUAUUUAAACUCACUAAAUUGUGUUAGAUGGAUCGGUAUAAAAUAACUUUUAUAAAACCUGUUUCCCAAAUACUGUUGUGAGUUGAGUACAUUGGUGUGUUAUGAUGGUUAGAAGCUGCAUACAAAAAAUAAACUGCAGUAAAAGCA